rnacentral:rRNA from 1 species
UACGGAGGGUGCAAGCGUUGUUCGGAAUCAUUGGGCGUAAAGCGCGUGUAGGCGGCUUGGCAAGUCGGUUGUGAAAGCCCGGGGCCCAACCCCGGAACUGCAUCUGAAACUGCCUGGCUAGAGUCCCGGAGAGGAAGGCAGAAUUCCCGGUGUAGGGGUGAAAUCCGUAGAUAUCGGGAGGAAUACCAGCGGCGAAGGCGGCCUUCUGGACGGUGACUGACGCUGAGACGCGAAAGCGUGGGGAGCAAACAGG